rnacentral:piRNA from 1 species
UGCAGACGUUGCUUCUAGAGAGUCAGAAGC